GCUCCCCCUCGCCCCCCUUCGCCGAUUCGCCGCCUCCGCCCCGGCCUCCCGCCCCUACGCGCGCCCCUGAGGCAAACCCUAGCUCGCCGGCGCGGCGGUGUGGUGGCCGUCUUCCGCUCCUCCUCCCGAGCCCCCGCGCCCCUGCCUCGGCUACUCGGCGCGGGCUUCCUCGGCCACGACGCCUUCUGGUCCAAGGGCGGUGGCGGUGGUCGUUCCCACUUCCUCUCCGUCUCGGUCCAGCCUGAUUCGAGCUUCCUGGACAGCCACAAGGCAUGCCUUGGCCGCCAUUGAGCAGAAUGCCGCUGGUGGCCAGCGGCGACAGAGUGCCGUCUCAGCGGACAAGGGAGUAUCAAGCGAGACAUCAUCAUCAUCAAGCGAGCAUGGGAGUUUUUCCUGCAAGCAAGUAUCUCAUUAUCCUUACCUUCAUCUGAACCACACCUGCAUUUUUAAAUCUUUGGAGAUGGCGUAGGAUAAGGCCCAGAUGAACGCUUGUGGAAAUAGUACAGCCCCACUGUUAGGAGUACAAGUUUAGUAUUUUUCCUAAUCUAAUUAUACGGCCACGUUGAUCACACCUUACUAAUUCUGGCCGCCGUAGUACCUAGAUCAGUCGGAGAAAUGGACUGCAAUUUGGGGAGCAAAAACUGCAUCAAUUCCUAAUGUAGAUGGAAUAACACUUAAUAAUUGGGGCUCUGACUUGUCACUGGUACCUUCCCAUAAUUUCCAAACUGUAGGGGGUCACUGGUAUAUGCAUGAGUAGUUGGCUUCAGAUUGAAUAAAUUAUCUGAACAUCAGCAAACAAAGGAGAAACCAGUAAGCUUUAGUAAUCAUGAACAUCGACAGUGCUACUCACUGAAAUCUACCAUAUGAAGUUGUAAAUUUCUCACAAGCUGAAAAGCGUACAGGAUCCAUGACUGAAAUGAGUGGAGGAGGGUAAGUUUCUAGGAUAACUGACUAAGAAAAGAGCGACAUACUUGUGCUGAAAUUAGCAGGAUCUUCUAUUCUGAAUCCAGCAGAGUGUGUGAGCGCCCCGAAAUCAGCGACUCGGGAAGGCUGCAUGAUGCUCACAUCUGUUGGGCUGCAAGAAACUUCCACCACAGCGUAUGUACUACAGUUGUUGGUUAGACUAUAGAUAAGCUUCAGGCUGGUUGCCUGCCUGACAGUCAUCCUCUCGUGAGGAUUCUGGAGCAGAAGCCAUAAGAGCUGCUGCUCAGGUAGUGCGAGGGGAGCAUCGUGUUUUCUAUGAGAUGAUGGAACAUCACGAACGAUCUUUUGUUCGUUGAAUUGAUCCUACGCUUAAAUUACUCCUUGCAAUUUUGGACUGAAUGUGCUGAGACGGUCGGUUCAACUACUACUAGCAUCAUCAGAGUUGCAGAGUAGUGACUGACUGACGGACGGAUGGACGGGGUGUGAGGGGCUGGCUCACCGAGGUAGAAGGUCUUGGCGUACUCGGCGCAGACCUCGCCGCAGCGGUCGUAGGCGUCGCCGAGGAGGCUCCAGCCGAGCUCGGCGUCGCCCUCCUGCUCCAGCUGCUCGUCCCGCCACCGGCGGCGCUGGCCGUAUAAUUUGAGAGCUCAUCCAAUGUUUUCUUACUAAUUUGAGAGCAGCCAUCAGUUUAGCUUGCUGUCCCAAAAUAUAUGUUCCUGGGUACAGUAUUUUGAUAUGGGACAUUAGGCCUUGUUAGAGGUGGUAUUAAAAUACAACAUGGAAAUUUUAGAGGUUGUUCUGUAGAUACUUAAACACAUAUCACUUGUCAGGUAUAGUUUCGUAUAUUAAAUCCUAUGAAAUUAUCAAGGUGGGUUGUACUAUGUUGGACAGAAUUUUAUGUUUAGACUUGGGUGAAUGUAACCAGACUUAUACUCUCAAAUUUUGUCAUAGUUGAUGGUGUGAGGACUUAUAAUGUGAUAAAGUAUAUACGUUGUUGCAACACCAAAAUCAGUGAAAUAUAUUGUCUUUUUUGCUGCCGAUGAUAUCUCCUAGAAUCUUUAAUCCAUAAAGUAAGGAUUUAGAUAACAUCAUAUGUUUAGAGUUCAGUUCUUUUCUUAGCUUAAACUAACAUAUUUUACAAUGUGCGUGAUGGAUGUUGCGGGUUCAUUGAUGACAGACAAGGGUUCAUGCUCGGAAACGACUACAUCUUGCUCCAUGUUGUCGGCUCAGCUAGAGUCCUUAAUCAUGAGGAGAUGGGACACGUCGAUUGUUAGAGUACACUUGACAGGGGUGAUCGACGCUUACUAGCACGGCGGGUGGGCGUUGUGCUCUUCAAUCACUCAGAGGCGGACUUGUCCGUGAAGCCGGUGGCCAUGUCACGUAGAUGAUUGUCCAGGUGAUUUCGACGCCAGAGGUCGUCGAGGAGGAGGACCUCGACACCACCGUCCGGGGGGGGGGAGGAUUCGGGUCCGCCGGCAUCUAAGCUCCGAGCCUUGGUAGAUACAUUGUGACGCCCGGAUAAUUAAGCUACAAUAAUCCCACGCUAAUGAUGCCACGUCACCACGGUUA